UUCAUUUUCCCCUAGUGGCGAAUCAGUUUCCGGGAAUUCCUCGCCAAUUAAGGAUUGUUGUGUGCAAAUAUAAAGUUGUGAGAUGGAGGAUCGUGAGAAACCCACGGGUUCGUGUACAAGCAAUUAGGGGACUACCUUUUUUCUAUAAGGAUACACUUGAGAAUAUAGGGAAGAUGGUUGAUAUACUUGUGCAAAUUCUUGGCUCUGGUAAGUUGGGCACUUUGUAGGUUUUACGGUUGAGAACAUAGCCAUGAUUGAUUGUAGCAUGUACUUGAGAUAAAAAUAUGUUCUUGAGGGCUUAAAAGACACCUCUCAUGUUCUGCUAUUUAUAUAGAUAAAUAGUUGAUACAAUAGAGAGAUAGAAGGUCAAGUUAUUGUCCUAGACUGCUAGGUACAAUGAUUAGAGAUAACCCAACACA